AGGACGAACGCUGGCGGCGCGCUUAAUACAUGCAAGUCGAACGAGAAGCCAGAGCUUGCUCUGGUGGAAAGUGGCGAACGGGUGAGUAACACGUGAGAAACCUGCCCCAAAGAUUGGGAUAAGCCUUGGAAACGAGGUCUAAUACCAAAUACCUUCCUUUUAACACAUGUUAAAAAGAAGAAAUGCUCCGGCACUUUGGGAUGGUCUCGCGAUCUAUCAGCUUGUUGGUGAGGUAACGGCUCACCAAGGCAUCGACGGAUAGCUGGUCUGAGAGGAUGUCCAGCCACAUUGGAACUGAGACACGGUCCAAACUCCUACGGGAGGCAGCAGUAGGGAAUCUUGCACAAUGAGGGAAACCUUGAUGCAGCGACGCCGCGUGCGGGACGAAGGCCCUAGGGUUGUAAACCGCUUUCAGUAGGGACGAAAGUGACGGUACCUACAGAAGAAGCCCCGGCCAACUAUGUG
rnacentral:rRNA from 1 species